ACAAGGCAGUUGAGGGAGUGGCGGCCUCCGGUGGGAUCUUAGCCUGUGGGCUGGCGGCGCGGAGGGGAAGGCGCAGCGCGACCUCUCCUGACAGACAUCAGCGUGGGUCAACCGCGAGCCUGGAUCCCGAGUGACUGAGGGCUGUUACCUUCAAACCUUUGAAUCCCACGUUUUCCCAUUGACUUCCUGUCACCGUUAGAGAAAAGCGGACAGUGUCUCGGUCACAGAGUGGGAGAAAUAUCUCAGGGACUCUUCAGGGAAAGUGUUUUCCUCAUCAAAGCAAACCCCAAAAUCGCUUCUGCCGGCGUGGACCAACUGGAACCGAUGAGAGUCGGUCGUCGUGAGGGACACCCUCUGUUCCGUAGUGUACCCCGCUGCUUAUUUUUAAACGCUCGGUUGGCGGGAACCCGUAUGCCAGCUGAAACUCCUUCAGUUUGGCUGCCUAGGAAACAUCGAGAGUCACCUGCCUGGGCUGGCUGGACAAUAAAAACGGGAAAAAUUGUAAAAGACACAGUCUCCGCCCUCGAAGCUUACACCCUCGGGGCGAGACCUACAGGAAAGUAGAUAAUCCCAUUAUUCUCUGAUAAACGCCGAGCUGCUUGCUUGCCUGAGCUCUGGGAGCGGAUAGGGAGUAACCGGCUGUUCCCCGCGGCCUUGUUGAGAAAGCCUUCACCUGGGAGUGACACUUGCGCUGAAUCUUGAGCAUAAGAACGUGAAGAUAAUAGACGAGACAGCUACUCAGAAAACUAUGGGGAAGAAAAGAACGAUCAAAAUGCCUUUAAACAACUGCCCUCAGGAACAAGGUGUUGAAGACCUCCGAUGAUGAAGAUGUCCAUGCAGACAGGGCUGCCUGAUGUGGUCCAUUCGAUGUGGUUGGAAGGAGUGCUUUAUUUGAUGGUGUCCAAUAAACAAAGUCUCCAAGUUGGACACCGUGAUCUUUGAUGUCUCUAGCUGUUAAAAGAAUCCUCAGUUAACUUAGAAUUUUUAUUGAGAAGCUUGUAAGGCCUUGGCAAUA